GAUUUGUUUUUAAGAAUAAAUGAAACAAAAUUAUAUCCAAAAAAUGCUUAUUUUCCUUCUGUCGUUAAGUUUUCGCACAAGUUUGCAUGGACUUUUAUUGAGAGUUGGAAACCGGAUGUACUUGAACUUGUAACAGAGUAAGCAUAUUUAUGUGUGACACAGUCCAGUAUUUAUAUCUCUAAUUGUGAAAAACAACAUUAAACUGUGACCAACAUUCUGCAACCUGGUUGAACAUUGAUGAGAGGAAACCAGAUUGAAACGAGCGACAUUGCGAAAACAAUACGUCAACUUUGUGCUCCUGCCUUGUGCGGAUGUAAAUACAACGCGUGUAUUUUAAUUAGAAAAAAAACUUAUUCAGUUGCUGAUCCUGUACUCACGAAAGAUUACGUGCAACUGGUACAAACAUAUUACAAGGAAAUACGUCUUACGUCCUUAUAUCUACAACAUUUAACGAUAUGAACUAUGAAUACCACAUUAAUGAAAACAGACUGCGUUCCUUAUGAAAACAGAAUGCAUUUGAACUUGCAAAGCUGAACACUAUUCCAGCUUGUGAUUCACUGAAUUUCUUGAAUACAACAAUGAAUUACAACAACAAAUCUACGAGGUAAUGGGACAUUG